AAGUCAGGUACUGUCCCUUACGUCCAGGGCUACACACGUGUUACAAUGGCCAGUAACAACGGGUUGCGAGUCGGUGACGGCGAGCUAAUCUCUUAAAGCCAAGUCUCAGUUCGGAUUGUAGGCUGCAACUCGCCUACAUGAAGUCGGAGUCGCUAGUAAUCGCGGAUCAGCACGCCGCGGUGAAUACGUUCCCGGGCCUU
rnacentral:rRNA from 1 species